UCCCUGAUGGUCCGGUGGUUAAGACUCUGUGCUUUCACUGCAGGGGGCACAGGUUUGAUCCCUGGUCAGGGAA
rnacentral:tRNA from 1 species